CCUACGGGUAGCAGCAGUGAGGAAUAUUGGUAAAUGGGCUUACGCCUGAACCAGCAAAGUCGCGUGAGGGAAGACUGCCCUAUGGGUUGUAAACCUCUUUUGUCAGGGAGCAACGCCGGUUACGUGUAGCCGGACUGGGAGUACCUGAAGAAAAAGGAUCGGCUAACUCGGUGCCAGCCGCCGCAGUAAUACGGAAGAAGCGAGCGUUAUCCGGAGUUAUGGGGUUUAAAGGGUGCGUAGGCGGAAUGCCAAGUCACAGGUAAAAUCGCGGGGCUCCACCGCGCGUCGCCGGUGAAACUGGCGUUCUUGAGUGGGCGAGAAGUAUGCGGAAUGCGUGGUGUAGCGGUGAAAUGCAUAGAUAUCACGCAGAACUCCGAUUGCGAAGGCAGCAUACCGGCGCCCAACUGACGCUGAAGCACGAAAGCGUGGGUAUCGAACAGGAUUAGAUACCCCUGUAGUC
rnacentral:rRNA from 1 species